ACAGCCUGCCCACCCUGGAA
rnacentral:snRNA from 1 species